AGCGUUCAUAAAAACCAAGACGCAGACAAGUGCAGUUCGCUGUCGUGGGUGGCUGUGUGAAAGGGAAUAUUUGGGAUUGGGCAGCUAUGGGUACUAUAUACUUUACAAUCAAGCAAUAAUCGGUUUGAUAAAGCCUGGGUAUACUGAGGAGCAACAUGAAAAUUGUCAACUCGGAAUGAAGCAUUUUGGAGGCAAUUAAAAUAUGGACUUUACCCUAAUAAACCCACUGUGCCCGCUCAUAAAAAAAUCCGGAGAGAUAGAAGCGGGAGGGGAGCUGCGGCAAAAACUAUGCAAACUUUAUGCGAAUCUAAAAUAUUUGCACUGGGCAAGCGCAAGCGCAGCACACUCAAUUGUUCAAAUACAUUUAUAUAUAUGUAUAUAUCUCGAAGGCAGACGGAAAGGAUGGAAAAUCCAACUGCGGAGAGAAAACUGGGCAGCAGCCGCCGAUGGACGCAGUUUGGAGCUUGCACUUGGAUGCUGUAUGUUGGAUGCUGGAUGUUGGAUGUUGCUUGCUGCCUGAUGCUAUCAAUUCAAAGUCAAAUGGGGGGACAACAAAACAAAUCGGCGCUGCAUCUAUAAUGAGCCCAGCCAACGUGGACGGCACUCCGAGAUCUCUGGCCAAAAAAAAAAGCUAAAAAAAAAAUUAAAAGAAACAGAAACAGGCUGGGGCCAGGAACAGGGCCCCAAGUCGGAAUUGAUGAGAGCGGGGGCACCAUAUGGCCAGCGGGUUCGGGUCCACCAAAACGCAGACUUUGCUCCAAUGUUUUGACUUGCAUGUGCGCUGCCUCAUUGAGUUGUUCGCUUGUGGUGGACCAGUACCCGGCCUCCGUUGGCCUCCAUUCGCCUCCCGGAGUCCCGAUCUUGGCGAGCACGAUCGGCUGCAGGGACACCCACCCAACGCACACACAACGGCCCACAGGUGGGGUCAACCAAAUAACAGGCACCCUGCGGCUUACAAGAAAACUUACAAUUUGUUAAUUCCAAAAAAAAAAAAAAUAAAUAAAUUAUUAAAAACAUAUUAAACUAUAUAGCUCUUACCAGCGCAUAUUAUAGCUGCAUAUUAAAAUGAAUGCUUU